rnacentral:lncRNA from 1 species
AAUAUCUGUCCUUUCUUGGAACAUCUAAUUGCUAGAUUUUUGGGUACAUAUCAGUAGAUCUUACUUUGCUUUUUCUUGGCUUUGUGAGAAGGACAGCAUAUGCUAGAGGUGGUAUUGAGUGACUGUCUUGUGCAGCCAGCAGGAUAAAUGGUUUGGCUGAACUGUCAUUCCCACAUCCUCCCACAAAGAUCAUUGGGUUUGGACUUUGGGCCUUUUAUGUACCUGUUUUGGGGUUGGGGUAUCUUCACCUGUUUGGGGGUUGUCUUCUGUUGCUGUUAGCCACACAGGCUUAGUAUAUCUGGUUUUUAUUGUUUUUAAUUUUUGUUUUGUUUGUUUGUGUAGUCUUGUAUUAAUCCUUUAGUUAACUAGCAGAAUUUCUCCCAAAUGUUUGUUAACUAGAAUUAAGCUGAGUUAGUAUUAAACUUCCCCCAUUCACAUGAGUUUGUCUGUUCUUGCUCCUCUGUUUUCUUGCUCCAGAAUGGCUUCAGUUCUGUGCAGGGCACGCAGUUACAGACCACGCAAUCUGUUGAAGGUGAGUAUUCUCCAGGCUUUUUAUUCUCAGUUGUUUUUUUCUUUCUCUUAAUAUUUUUGUAUUUCUUAAAAGUGAAAAGAGCUCUGGCACGAGGACUGGUUAGUCUUAAUUCUACUUUGCUGCUUAAUCUCCAGCCUUCCUAAGUUUCAGGUUCUCUGUCUUAAAAUGGUAACCAUUUUAUUGGUUCCCGUCACUGGACAAAUGAAAUUCACAUGCAAAGUGCCUAGAAUUAAAAAAGAUUAUACCAUUAUUAAAUAACUCAUACUGUUGUCUUUGGGGCAGCAUAGGACUGUAGUGAUUCUUCACGUUAGACAUUUUCUUUUCUUCUGGUGAGAUGGAUUCUUUUAUUUCUAGGUGCUACAGGCUCUGCAGUGAAAUCUGACUCACCUUCCACUUCUAGCAUCCCCCCUCUCAAUGAAACGGUAUCUGCAGCUUCCUUACUGACAACAACCAAUCAGCACUCAUCCUCCUUGGGUGGCUUGAGCCACAGUGAGGAAAUUCCAAAUACCACCACCACGCAACACAGCAGGUGAUUUGGGGUGAGGAUGGAGUUUGGGGUGAGGAUGGAGCUCUCUGGUUCUUUUUCUUUCUAACUGGCAAAGACCACAUUAGCCCCACUUUUGGGUAAAUGGGUGACCUGAAAACUGUGAGAGAUAAAGACAAAGAGACUUAUUUUAUUUUUUCCUUUCAGCAUCUACUUUUGUUUUAACUGUUGCUUACUAUCCCUGGCUGGCUCUUGUGCUUAUUACCAUUUUCUCAAGACUUUCUUGUUCCUAUGUUCUACCUUAUUUUCUUGCUUGUGUUCUUGAUUAAAGCUCCAGGCCAGGUGGCCAUAGCACUGUUGUUGAUGGCACCCUCUUUCCUUACAGCACGUUAUCUACACAGCAGAAUACCCUUUCAUCAUCAACAUCUUCUGGACGCACUUCGACAUCCACUCUUUUGGUAAGUAUGAUGCUGAAAGGAAGUGUGGUUCUUAAGCUUUUCUUAAACUAGCCAACCCUAAGAUUCUGCCAAGAGGGAAUUCUUGAUCAUUUCUUCAUGAGAUGAUAAAACUCAUUGAAUUGAGGUUGCAGAGAAACGAAUAAGGGGUUGUUGGGAAGCCAAAAGAAGCCAAAGAAUCCAGAAAUAAUGCAGAGCUAUGAAUCAUUCCUUAAAGCCUGGAAGGGACACCCUCCAUCCCCCAUUCCUGUGUUGAAGAUAAGGUAUAUGUUACAAAAGAACAUACCUUUCUAGGGGCUAGUGGUAUAGCUCAGUGGUACUGUAUGGGUUAGUGUGCAUGAAGCCCUUGGUUUAAUCCCCAGCACCAAAAAAAAGGAGAGUGGGGUGGAAAGAAAAGGACAAAUCUUGCUAACUGGUAGAGCUUGUGUUUCUCUUUCCUUAAAACACAACAUCAAGUUUAAAGUCAGCUGUAUGUUAUUCUAGCCCAUGAACUAGAGAAGAAAAGUGUGUGAGAGAAGGCUAUGAUACAUUUUUCAGAUUUCAACUUUAUUUGACAGGUCAACCAGUGUUGGUCUCCACCAACACUGGAGUUGUCACCACCCACUUUGCUGUCUUUCUUAACAGGAUGAUGGUAUAUGAGUCUGUAUUAAUAACCAUCCUUGUCACAUGAGUCUUUAGAAACAUGCAGCUAGAGAGUUUUUGUACCUUGGUAGAGGAGACUCUGUUAUUAUGCCCUGACCUUUUUAAUUGGGAAGUUGUUGUGAUGAUCAUAUUCAAGAGAAUAGAUUGUUUAUCAUUCCUAACCUAUAUUGCUAAUUGGUGCUUCCUUCAUCUCUCUUCCAUUGCUCCUCCCUUUUGAAGCACACAAGUGUGGAGAGUGAGGCGAAUCUCCAUUCUUCCUCCAGCACUUUCUCUACCACGUCCAGCACAGUCUCUGCACCUCCCCCAGUGGUCAGUGUCUCUUCCAGUCUCAACAGUGGCAGCAGUCUGGGCCUUAGCCUAGGCAGCAACUCCACUGUCACAGCCUCAACUCGAAGCUCGGUUGCUACAACUUCAGGUACCUUUGCAUUAGCUGCAUGGCAUUCCUCUAGGAUGGAGGGAAUCAAUAAUUGUGUGAUAGCAUAAAAAUGUUUUUUCUCUUUUAGGAAAAGCUCCUCCCAACCUUCCUCCUGGGGUCCCGCCAUUGUUGCCUAAUCCAUAUAUUAUGGCUCCAGGGCUGUUACAUGCCUACCCAGUAAGUAGGAUUGAAGGGUUUGUUCUAAAAGGUGGUGUUGGUGGGACUAUUCUUUAUAGUUCUGGCUUCAGGCAGUAGACUGUAAUUACAAUACAGAAAAAAAUGCCACAUAUAAACAAAUAGGUUUCUUGGGUGGGGGUGAGUAGUAGGGAUUGGACUUGGGAGCAACCAACCACUGAGCCACAUCCCCAGCCCUAUUUUUUUUUUAAUAUUUAUUUUUUAGUUGCAUUUGGACACAGUACCUUUUAUUUUAUUUAUUUAUUUUCAUGUGGUGCCAAGGAUCGAACCCCAGGGCCUCACACGUACUCACCACUGAGCCACAACCCCAGCCCUAUUUUUUAUUUUAUUUAGAGACAGGUCUCACUGAGUUGCUUAGUGCCUGGCAUUUCUGAGGCUUGCUUUGAACUUGGGAUCCUCCUAUCUCAGCCUCCUGAGCUGCUGCGAUUACAGGCAUGCGCCAUUGCACCUAGCACAAGUAGGUUUUGAAUCUUUGUAGCUUUGGAAAAAACAAUCAUUUUUAGAGAGGAAAGACUAAACUUGGGCAAGACCCUCUAUUGUGUAUUUGCUCUGUGUGAAAUAGAAAUUCUAGGCCUCAGAUGCCAAAGGCUAAAACGUUCAUCUGGAAUUCCUUUCAGUUUCUUGGAGAAUUGUUUUUUGUAGAUGAACUGAUUUCCUUACUCUGGGGAUCUUUGCUGCCUCUAACCUGGUCAGAAGAGAGUUCCCCAGCUCACUGUGGAAUUGUCUUGAGAAUAAAUGGCUGACAUUGUUGACUUUUUUUCUCAGGUAUAUCUUCUGUUACCUCCAGGUAUUCAGUACCUCUUAAGAUGGAGGGUAUGAAAAUUCUAUUAAAAGACAACUGUACUUCCCCUGAAAGUGGAAGUCUAGAUAAACAUCAUACAGACAAGAUUGUCCAAAUAACACUGUUGGACAUUGUUUAACAACACUGCUUUAUCUUGAAAUUGGGAGAAAACAAGAGUAAAAUCUGAAUCUUUCAUGGAGAAAAUAAAUUUUAAACCAGAUGUAUAGAUUAGAGAGUAAAGGCAGGAAGAUUCCAUUCAUAGAAUAGAGAGAACAGAUAGCUGUUCAUAUACUUGUGUCUAUUGUACUGCUUCCCAGAAAUGGUCUAGAUCAAUCAGUAGUAAGUAGCUCAACGAAAGUUUCAAGAUCUUUCAUUAAUCCUUUAAUCUCUACUUUUACUUUCCCUUUAAGUAAAUUGAAGGAAAUAAAUCUUUUUUUUUUUUCCUUUUGGUAGUAUUGGGGAUUGAGCCCAGGGCCUUGUUCGUGCUAAGGAAGCACUGAACUACAUCCCUAGCCCAAGGAAAUAAUCUAUGUCCUGUUCAAAGAAGGACGGUGAAUAAUGUAUUGAAUUAUCUUGCUUUUUAGCUCCUUGGGUUUUUUGUUUUUAAUCAUUUAUGACCAUUUCUCAUUAAUGUCACAUGCCUUUGUCUUUCAGCCACAAAUGUAUGGUUAUGAUGACUUGCAGAUGCUUCAGACAAGAUUUCCAUUGGUAAGUAUGUGGAAGGGAACUCUGGUAAAGGAGGUGAUCUAAAAAUUAGUUUUGUUUUUUUUUUUUGGUGCUUGGGAUCAAACCUAGGUUCUCACAUAUGCUAAAGCACAUGCUAUUACUGAGCUACACCCCCAGCCCAAGUGGACUACUACAACUAUACAUUUUCUACCAAUGUCAUAUCUUGUUUUUUAAUAUUUUGUGUCAUUAGAGAUUCAACUCAGGAGCUAGUGCACGCCAGGCAAGCACUUUACCAUUUAGGUAUACCCCACUCCCCAGAGAUGUGAAAUCUUUGAAGUAAACAGAUUUUAACCUACUCUGUAGCCUAAUAAAGUACUCAGGAGCUCUCAAGAUGCUUUCAAGAUGCUUUCUAUAUGUCUCAAACACUUAAAAUUACAGAAAAAAAAAUAUGUUUUUCAAGAUAAGUUUGGCAUAUGCUUUUAGAGAUGAUGUGUGGAGGUUGAAAAUAUUAUUGGUCCUGAUGGAACUUUAGCAGGCAUAUCCGUAGACCUUGCCUGGCUCUGCUUAUGGCCAGGCAGGGGGGACAGUAUAUGCAAGAAUAAUAUGGAGUUUAUGCAAACUCAAACCAGCUUCUUCGGUAGCUGGGUAAAUCGCAGUACUCCCGACAUUUUUGUGCUUCUCACCUGUGGUUUUCAUGCUGGAGAAUGAAUAGCAUUGAGUCUGUGCUCUUUUGUUACUCGGUUCUAGGAUUACUACAGCAUCCCGUUUCCCACGCCCACCACUCCGUUGACCGGGAGGGAUGGUAGCCUGGCCAGCAACCCUUAUUCUGGUAUGACUGGGACGGGGCCAAAUAAAGGGAGAGGGAGAUUGUAUUGGGAUGAAUGGCAAAACCCUGCUUAAUAGCAAGAAAGGACCUGGUUCUCACCUUACAUGUCUCUGGUAGAAGUUUAAAAUGGACGUGAUGAAUUGGUUGGUAGAUUCACAGUCCUGUUAAAGAUGAGCGUUUGGCAGCUUUUUUCCCUUUCCAUCUCACUUGUCUGUGAUUUCUAAAUCCUUCUCUCUCUCUCUCUCACACACACACACACACAUCUUACCUAAAAACAUUUUUUUCCCCUUUGGUUCUGGGGAUUGAACCUAGGGUCUCACAUCUAUACUAAGCCUGUGCUCCAUCUUCUGCCCCUCCAGAUGACAUUAUAACUUAGGUUUUUCAGCUUGUUCCAGAAAGUAGUGGUUGAACUGGUCUUCUCUGCUUCUGUACAUUGCUCACAGUGGCAGUCUCAUUGUCUUGCUAGACCUUCUUUUUUGGCCUGACUUUCUUGGCAUCCUCCUUGAUCAUUUUUUCUUAUCUGUCUCUGUCCCUUCAAGUGUAGCAUGGAGUGUUUCCCAUGGAAGAAAAUAGGGGCUGGGAGUGAAAGAAUACAAGAAGGUAGAGAAAUAAUGUAGGAACUUUUUCCUGGGAUCUUCUUUUUGCUAUAGCAAAUAUACUCAGCAAUAGUCUUUAACUGGCACUGUAGUCUAUACUCAACUAUAGUUUAUACUCAACAACAGUCUUAACUGGCACUAUGCUAAAUGUAUUCUGAGCAAUGCUGAAUGGAGCUUCAAAGAAAUAUAAUUUAAGGAAUUGAAUUUUAAAAGUCUUUGAACAGGAUCUCUUGGAAUCAUGUGAAACCAAGAGGUGACUUGUGUUGCAGUGAAAGAAACGGGUACAUUUAGCUUCUUCUGUCACAGGUGACCUCACAAAGUUCGGUCGUGGGGAUGCCUCCUCCCCAGCCCCGGCCACAACCUUGGCCCAACCCCAACAGAACCAGACGCAGACUCACCACACCACGCAGCAGACAUUCCUGAACCCGGCGCUGCCUCCUGGCUACAGUUACACCAGCCUGCCAUACUACACAGGGGUCCCGGGCCUCCCCAGCACCUUCCAGUAUGGGCCUGCUGUGUUCCCUGUGAGUGCCUAGCCUUGGUCUCCUUGUGGUGAAGGCUUCUAUCCCUGACACUAUCCUAGCUGUGCUUUCAAAGCUAGAUGAGUCUAGUAAUGAAUGAGGGAGGAACAGUUUCCACAUUGGGCUUUCUUCUGGCCUGGGAAGGGGGAGUGGGAUUGGAAUUGGUUGAAUUAUAAUAGGGAUUAACUUUUUCUAGAAUUAGCCAGAGGGGAAUGUGAUACCAUACAGCUUUGCUUUCCUCAGAUGGCCAUGUAUUCCCUGAUAGCACUCCCCCUUUUCCUUCCUUCAAAUUGUCUCUUGAUUUCAAAGGUAGAUUAUGGAAAUAUUAGUAAGGAUCUUAUUUCACUAUUCAAAUUAUGGCCAGCCUAAAUCAGGAUUCAUAGCCACCUGAACACCUGGGCCCUGGAGUAGGACAGGUGAAACUGAUGGUGCAUGCUGCCAUUUCACUGCAGUUCUGGCCCUUUUGCUCUUCAGGUGGCUCCUACCUCUUCCAAGCAGCAUGGUGUGAAUGUCAGUGUGAAUGCAUCAGCCACCCCUUUCCAACAGCCGAGUGGAUAUGGAUCUCAUGGAUACAAUACUGGUAAGCUCCCCGUGGCCCUGGUUCAGUGUCUCUGUGAGGUGUUACUGGGUUGGUGAGGGUGUUCUGCUCUCUACAUAUGAUUAUUGAUGCUUGGCUGAAUUGGAUAUCUGGGAGCAUCAUCAGCAGAGGCUCUUGACUCUAGGAAAUGCUGUUACUACACAUGAUUAGAAUGCUCAGGGGCAUUUUUGGCCGCUAAAAUAUGUUGUCUGGCCUAAACUUUGGGUUAAAAGGAGGACAGGGCCCUAAGAUUUUGCUGAGAUAUCAGUGGAGGCAAGUGUUGUGGCACUGUAUAAAAGAGGAUAUAUUCACUGAAAAGAAAGGAUAAAUGCUUUCAUAGCUAACAAUAUGAUUAAUAGGCUUGGCUUAAGUCUUUUUGUAGUACUAUUAUUAUUACUAUUCCCCUUUCAUUCCUAACUAGAAGACCUAAGAUAUGGAGAGAGAGGAUAGGCAUGACCACGCAGUAGAGACAGAAUUAGACUGGGAGGUUCCUUCGUUUGUAUGACUGGUCUUCUUAAAAAGCCUAUUUGCAUAUCUGAUGGCAGGGAGAGAAUUGUAGGAAUCCUCUGGAUAAGUAAUGACCUAAAAGAUACUUAGCUUAUCACUUAUUUCCAUAUCUGACAUCCAUGCUCCACUUUUGAAGGUGGAAGUGGAGGAGACAUUGAAUAAAACCGUUUCAUCUACAUUUUUCAGUGACUUACAGGCAUAUAUGAGGAGGAGCCUAUUGUAGUUGCUAGGGGUUGGGGUUGAGGAUUGUCUUUUCAAAGCUCAGUUAGUUUCAAGGUGAUUUGGAUGGAGCAACAUCUGUGUGGGCUCCAGAUGAGUAAAUUGCUCAACAUUUUAUUUAUUUAUUUUUUGGUACUGAGGAUUGAACCCAGAGACAUUUUACCACUGAGCUAUAUCCCCAGUCCUUUUUAUUUUUUGAGAUAGGGUCUCACUAAGUUGCUGAGACUGGCCUCAAACUUAGAAGCCUCCUGCUUCAGCCUCCUAAAUUGCUAGGAUUAGAGACAUGCAUCAAUGCACCCAGCUCAAAAUUUUCAGUAAUUGGGAAACUGUCUUAAGCUGAGCACAGAAGGUAAUAAAGACUAGUUUUAGGAAUUAAUAGCCAGGUGGAGCUUUGGACUGUGCCUUAUGACUUAAGAGUGGGUCAUAAUAAAUUUUAAAAAUCCUGAGAAAAGCCCCAUUAAGAUUUACUACCCAGGUUCUUUGGGGCCACUGCUGUCACUGAGUAAGGUCUUGUUGAUGAUGGGAGGAUUAUAAGCCUUUUGACUUGGCCCCAUUCCAGGAACAUUAAAAUUAAACUUCAGCUGGUCCAGGUAUGAGAAUUUUCAGAGGUAAGGUAGGUGGUUGAUAAUGUAAGACAGUUGGCAUAUCUGAUUCUGGAAAUCCUAGCUUCUUACCUCCCUUAAUAUUUCAGAAACCUGUUAGUUCUUUGAGAACCCCCAAUUCCCAACCCCACAGAGGGCUCUUGUCAUUCCAUUCCUCAUCAACCUCUAAAUUCAUGUAUUUUUAUGUAUUUGAUUCCUUUUAGGAAGAAAAUAUCCACCCCCUUACAAGCAUUUCUGGACGGCUGAGAGCUAAUUUGGCCCAAGGCUGGGGGCUGUGUUUUGUGUGUGUGUAUAAAUUUGCACUGAAGUCUUGUUUCAGAAACCAGACCACUGAGGAGAGCCUGCUGAGCUGAGGCCAUGGCCUGCGUGGCUUGGGGAAAUGAGUUGGUGGAUAUCUUCUGGGCUUUUGAACUUGCCCCCUCCCCAUUUCCCUCUCCCCCUUGUGUCUGACCCUGUCUUACCCAUUUCGAGUUCAAGCGGUGCAGCACCUCCGAAGCAUCAAUGCACACACCUGCUGUUGCUUUUGAUUUCUGGAAGGCAUGUAGUUUCAACUUGUAACAAAAAUAUUUGUAGUCUUCAAUAAACUGUGGUAUUUCUUUAGCUAACUCUGGCGUUCUUUCCGUGCAUGUCUUUCUGGACACUAGGAACCAGUGUUGUAUUGUGGAUGAAGGGUGGAGGGUGGCCUUUUAAUUCAGACCCCAGCAUAGGCAAAGAGCUGUUAACUUUUCUGUAUGGUUGUUUUUAAG